GACGAACGCUGGCGGCGUGCUUAACACAUGCAAGUCGAACGAAGUGGCGAACGGGUGAGUAAUACGUGGUUAACCUGCCCUCCUUUUUGGGAUAAGCCUUGGAAACGGGGUCUAAUACCGAAUACAGGGUGAUGGGCUCGCGGCUUAUCAGCUUGUUGGUGGGGUGAUGUCCUACCAAGGCGGUGACGGGUAGCCGGCUUGAGAGGGUGACCGGCCAGAUUGGUACUAAGAUACGGCCCAGACACCUACGGGUGGCAGCAGUGGGGGAUUUUGCACAAGGGGCGAAGGCCUGAUGCAGGGACGCCGAGGGGGGGUUGGAGUCUUUAGGGUUGUAAACCUCUUACGCUCGCGAACGGGUAGGUAGAGAAGAAGCGCCGGCUAACUACGUGCCAGCAGCCGCGGUAAUAC
rnacentral:rRNA from 1 species